rnacentral:rRNA from 1 species
UACGGAGGGUGCAAGCGUUGUCCGGAAUUAUUGGGCGUAAAGGGCAGGUAGGUGGUCUUAUAAGUCUACUGUGAAAUCCCCGGGCUUAACCCGGGACGUGCGGUGGAUACUGUAAGACUAGAGUGCUGGAGGGGUUCGUGGAAUUCCCGGUGUAGCGGUGAAAUGCGUAGAUAUCCGGAGGAACACCGGUGGCGGAGGCGACUUCCUGGGCCGAUUACUGACGCUGAGGCGCGAAAGCUAGGGGAGCGAACAGG